rnacentral:rRNA from 1 species
UCGAACGAUGAACCACUUCGGUGGGGAUUAGUGGCGAACGGGUGAGUAACACGUGGGCAAUCUGCCCUGACUCUGGGACAAGCCCUGGAAACGGGGUCUAAUACCGGAUACAACCGCUGACCGCAUGGUCCGGCGGUGGAAAGCUCCGGCGGUGAGGAUGAGCCCGCGGCCUAUCAGCUUGUUGGUGAGGUAACGGCUCACCAAGGCGACGACGGGUAGCCGGCCUGAGAGGGCGACCGGCCACACUGGGACUGAGACACGGCCCAGACUCCUACGGGAGGCAGCAGUGGGGAAUAUUGCACAAUGGGCGCAAGCCUGAUGCAGCGACGCCGCGUGAGGGAUGACGGCCUUCGGGUUGUAAACCUCUUUCAGCAGGGAAGAAGCGCAAGUGACGGUACCUGCAGAAGAA